UACGUAGGGUGCGAGCGUUGUCCGGAAUUAUUGGGCGUAAAGGGCUCGUAGGCGGUUUGUCGCGUCGGGAGUGAAAACCAGGUGCUUAACACCUGGCUUGCUUUCGAUACGGGCAGACUAGAGGUAUGCAGGGGAGAACGGAAUUCCUGGUGUAGCGGUGAAAUGCGCAGAUAUCAGGAGGAACACCGGUGGCGAAAGCGAGGUCCUGGACGCCAACUGACGCUGAGACGCGAAAGCCAGGGGAGCGAACGGG
rnacentral:rRNA from 1 species